rnacentral:rRNA from 1 species
UUAAGCCAUGCGAGUCAAAUGUUCUUCGUGAACAUGGCGUACUGCUCAGUAACACGUGGAUAACCUGCCUUAGGACUGGCAUAACCCCGGGAAACUGGGGAUAAUUCCGGAUAGUUCAUGGUAGCUGGAAUGCUCCAUGAUCGAAAGCUAUUGCGCCUAAGGAUGGGUCUGCGGUCUAUCAGGUAGUAGUGGGUGUAAUGUACCUACUAGCCGACGACGGAUACGGGUUGUGGGAGCAAGAGCCCGGAGAUGGAUUCUGAGACAUGAAUCCAGGCCCUACGGGGCGCAGCAGGCGCGAAAACUUUACAAUGCGGGAAACCGCGAUAAGGGGACACCGAGUGCCAGCAUCUUAUGUUGGCUGUCCGCAUGUAUAAAUCACAUGUGUUAGCAAGGGCCGGGCAAGACCGGUGCCAGCCGCCGCGGUAACACCGGCGGCCCGAGUGGUGGCCACUAUUAUUGGGUCUAAAGGGUCCGUAGCCGGUUUGGUCAGUCUUCCGGGAAAUCUGACGGCUUAACCGUUAGGCUUUCGGGGGAUACUACCAGGCUUGGGACCGGGAGAGGUAAGAGGUGCUACGGGGGUAGGAGUGAAAUCUUGUAAUCCUCGUGGGACCACCAGUGGCGAAGGCGUCUUACCAGAACGGGUCCGACGGUGAGGGACGAAAGCUGGGGGCACGAACCGGAUUAGAUACCCGGGUAGUCCCAGCCGUAAACUAUGCUCGCUAGGUGUCAGGGACGGUGCGACCGUUUCUGGUGCCGCAGGGAAGCCGUGAAGCGAGCCACCUGGGAAGUACGGUCGCAAGGCUGAAACUUAAAGGAAUUGGCGGGGGAGCACUACAACGGGUGGAGCCUGCGGUUUAAUUGGACUCAACGCCGGAAAACUCACCGGGGGCGACAGCAAUAUGUAGGUCAAGCUAAUGACACAGC